UUAAUUUGAGAGUUUGAUCCUGGCUCAGGACGAACGCUGGCGGCGUGCCUAAUACAUGCAAGUCGAACGAACUCUGGUAUUGAUUGGUGCUUGCAUCAUGAUUUACAUUUGAGUGAGUGGCGAACUGGUGAGUAACACGUGGGAAACCUGCCCAGAAGCGGGGGAUAACACCUGGAAACAGAUGCUAAUACCGCAUAACAACUUGGACCGCAUGGUCCGAGCUUGAAAGAUGGCUUCGGCUAUCACUUUUGGAUGGUCCCGCGGCGUAUUAGCUAGAUGGUGGGGUAACGGCUCACCAUGGCAAUGAUACGUAGCCGACCUGAGAGGGUAAUCGGCCACAUUGGGACUGAGACACGGCCCAAACUCCUACGGGAGGCAGCAGUAGGGAAUCUUCCACAAUGGACGAAAGUCUGAUGGAGCAACGCCGCGUGAGUGAAGAAGGGUUUCGGCUCGUAAAACUCUGUUGUUAAAGAAGAACAUAUCUGAGAGUAACUGUUCAGGUAUUGACGGUAUUUAACCAGAAAGCCACGGCUAACUACGUGCCAGCAGCCGCGGUAAUACGUAGGUGGCAAGCGUUGUCCGGAUUUAUUGGGCGUAAAGCGAGCGCAGGCUGUUUUUUAAGUCUGAUGUGAAAGCCUUCGGCUCAACCGAAGAAGUGCAUCGGAAACUGGGAAACUUGAGUGCAGAAGAGGACAGUGGAACUCCAUGUGUAGCGGUGAAAUGCGUAGAUAUAUGGAAGAACACCAGUGGCGAAGGCGGCUGUCUGGUCUGUAACUGACGCUGAGGCUCGAAAGUAUGGGUAGCAAACAGGAUUAGAUACCCUGGUAGUCCAUACCGUAAACGAUGAAUGCUAAGUGUUGGAGGGUUUCCGCCCUUCAGUGCUGCAGCUAACGCAUUAAGCAUUCCGCCUGGGGAGUACGGCCGCAAGGCUGAAACUCAAAGGAAUUGACGGGGGCCCGCACAAGCGGUGGAGCAUGUGGUUUAAUUCGAAGCUACGCGAAGAACCUUACCAGGUCUUGACAUACUAUGCAAAUCUAAGAGAUUAGACGUUCCCUUCGGGGACAUGGAUACAGGUGGUGCAUGGUUGUCGUCAGCUCGUGUCGUGAGAUGUUGGGUUAAGUCCCGCAACGAGCGCAACCCUUAUUAUCAGUUGCCAGCAUUAAGUUGGGCACUCUGGUGAGACUGCCGGUGACAAACCGGAGGAAGGUGGGGAUGACGUCAAAUCAUCAUGCCCCUUAUGACCUGGGCUACACACGUGCUACAAUGGAUGGUACAACGAGUUGCGAACUCGCGAGAGUAAGCUAAUCUCUUAAAGCCAUUCUCAGUUCGGAUUGUAGGCUGCAACUCGCCUACAUGAAGUCGGAAUCGCUAGUAAUCGCGGAUCAGCAUGCCGCGGUGAAUACGUUCCCGGGCCUUGUACACACCGCCCGUCACACCAUGAGAGUUUGUAACACCCAAAGUCGGUGGGGUAACCUUUUAGGAACCAGCCGCCUAAGGUGGGACAGAUGAUUAGGGUGAAGUCGUAACAAGGUAGCCGUAGGAGAACCUGCGGCUGGAUCACCUCCUUUCUAAGGAA
rnacentral:rRNA from 1 species